rnacentral:sRNA from 1 species
UACACUCCUCAAAGUCGUAAACUAACCUCAUAUCGGAUCAGGGGGGAAUAACAUGGAAGAUGUCACACUCUUAUUCUUGGUGGGAAGGGUGAGGCCAAGUUCUCUGUGGCUGGGAUAGAAUCUGAAUUUGAAUGGCCUCUCCCUCAGCUUUGCCAGAAUGCACUCUGUUUCCCAGAAUGCACCCUGUUUCCCAGAAUGCACCUUGUUUCCUAAACUCUACAGUUCACUUUCCAGAAUGGAGCUCCACCAUCUUCUAGUCACCUUGACGGCCUCUCCUGAGCAUCCCUGCCCUUAUUCUGUGCUCUAAGUCCCUUCAGAGUGAUGUGAGAGCCUGCGUGCGUGGGCAAGUCAGGAACCCAUGCGGAUGACAAGCCCAAUAACAUCAAACGUGUACAGAGUUUCACUUCUUUCUCUCCCUUCCUCAACAUAAAAGCCCAGCAAAGGGUUCACGGUCUCUGCCAACUCCGGGGAGAAGACAUGUGCUGGGCAGAUGGCUGCGUGAUCCUCAGAACCCCCGGGGACCCACCCUGUUACAUGUGCUUGUGGCUGCAAAGACCAAAGGCCCUGGAUGGGUGGACGUCUAUCCAGAGGCCUCUGUGGUCACGGAGCCCUCAGAACUCGUCCUGAACCACAUGGAGUAGCAGCCGCUCUACUGUUAGGGGAUGGUUAUGGGAAGUAGUACUGGGAUGUAGCUACUCUGUGACUUGCGGUGCAGCCGUUGCUCUCUCCAACCUGGGGACCUCCAGAGAAGCAAGCUCAAGCAAGUGGCUCCACUUGCGAAUGCGUUCCACAACCCUGCUGCCUCACUCAUAUUAAUAUUUUUAUAUCUGCGGUUUAUCAAGAUGUUUAUAACUA